CCUACGGGUGGCAGCAGUGAGGAAUAUUGGUCAAUGGACGAAAGUCUGAACCAGCCAUGCCGCGUGCAGGAAGACGGCUCUAUGAGUUGUAAACUGCUUUUGUACGGGGGUAAACGCAGAUACGCGUAUCUGUCUGAAAGUAUCGUACGAAUAAGGAUCGGCUAACUCCGUGCCAGCAGCCGCGGUAAUACGGAGGAUUCAAGCGUUAUCCGGAUUUAUUGGGUUUAAAGGGUGCGUAGGCGGUCUGAUAAGUUAGAGGUGAAAUCCCGAGGCUCAACUUCGGAAUUGCAUAUGAUACUGGUAGGCUAGAGAGUAGUUGAGGUAGGCGGAAUGUAUGGUGUAGCGGUGAAAUGCUUAGAGAUCAUACAGAACACCGAUUGCGAAGGCAGCUUACCAAGCUACUACUGACGUUGAGGCACGAAAGCGUGGGGAGCAAACAGGAUUAGAUACCCUUGUAGUC
rnacentral:rRNA from 1 species